AGUGAACGCUGGCGGCAGGCCUAACACAUGCAAGUCGAGCGGCAGCGCGGGGGCAACCCUGGCGGCGAGCGGCGGACGGGUGAGGAAUGCAUCGGAAUCUACCUCGUUGUGGGGGGAUAACCUCGGGAAACCGGGACUAAUACCGCAUACGACCUACGGGUGAAAGUGGGGGACCGUUCGGGCCGUCACGCGAUGAGAUGAGCCGAUGCCGGAUUAGCUAGUUGGCGGGGUAAAGGCCCACCAAGGCGACGAUCCGUAGCUGGUCUGAGAGGAUGAUCAGCCACACUGGAACUGAGACACGGUCCAGACUCCUACGGGAGGCAGCAGUGGGGAAUAUUGGACAAUGGGCGCAAGCCUGAUCCAGCCAUGCCGCGUGUGUGAAGAAGGCCUCGGUUGUAAG
rnacentral:rRNA from 1 species